UUUAACUUGGUGUAGGUCUCGCCA
rnacentral:siRNA from 1 species